AGUGAACGCUGGCGGUAGGCCUAACACAUGCAAGUCGAACGGCAGCGCAGUGAGAGCUUGCUCUGACGGGGGGCGGGUGGCGGAAGGGUGAGGAAUACAUCGGAAUCUACUCUUUCGGGGAGGAUAACGUAGGUAGAGUUAAGCUCAUACCGCAGCCGCUCUUCGGGGGAAAGCGGGGGAUAUUCGGAGCUGGCGCGAAUGAAUUAGCCGAUGUCGGAUUAGCUGGUUGGCGGGGUAAAGGCCCAACAGGGGGAGGAUCCGUGGCCCGACUGAGAGGAUGGUCAGCCGCCCUGGAAGUGGAACACGGACCUGACUCCUACGGGAGGCAGCAGUGGGGAACAUUGGACAAUGGGCGCAAGCCUGAUCCAGCCAGACCGAGUGGGUGAAGAAGACCUCCGGGUUGUGAAGCCCUUUUGUUGGGAAAGAAAAGCAGCAGGUUAAUACCCCGCGGUUCUGACGGUAACCAAAGAAGAAGCACCGGCUAACUUCGUG
rnacentral:rRNA from 1 species